rnacentral:rRNA from 1 species
CCUACGGGAGGCUGCAGUAGGGAAUAUUGCUCAAUGGGGGAAACCCUGAAGCAGCAACGCCGCGUGGAGGAUGAAGGUUUUCGGAUUGUAAACUCCUUUUGUUAGAGAAGAUAAUGACGGUAUCUAACGAAUAAUCACCGGAGAACUCCGUGCCAGCAGCCGCGGUAAUACGGAGGGUGCAAGCGUUACUCGGAAUCACUGGGCGGAAAGAGCACGUAGGAGGGAUAGCAAGUCAGAUGUGAAAUCCUUUGGCUCAACCAUAGAACUGCAUUUGAAACUGGUAUUCUAGAGUAUGGGAGAGGUAGGUGGAAUGCUUGGUGUAGGGGUAAAAUGCGUAGAGAUCAAGAGGAAUACUGAUUGCGAAGGCGGCCUGCUAGAACAUAACUGACGCUGAGGCGCGAAAGCGUGGGGAGCAAACAGGAUUAGAUACCCGGGUAGUC